rnacentral:rRNA from 1 species
AACGCGAAGAACCUUACCUACCCUUGACAUCCUCGGAAGCUGCUAGAGAUAGCGGUGUGCCUUCGGGAACCGAGAGACAGGUGCUGCAUGGCUGUCGUCAGCUCGUGUCGUGAGAUGUUGGGUUAAGUCCCGUAACGAGCGCAACCCUUGUCCUUAGUUGCCAACAGGUAAAGCUGGGAACUCUAAGGAGACUGCUGGUGAUAAGCCGGAGGAAGGUGGGGAUGACGUCAAGUCCUCAUGGCCCUUACGGGUAGGGCCACACACGUGCUACAAUGGGCGGUACAAAAGGAAGCGAAACUGAGAAGUGAAGCGAAUCUUAGAAAGCCGCUCGUAGUCCGGAUUGGAGUCUGCAACUCGACUCCAUGAAGUUGGAAUCGCUAGUAAUCGCGGAUCAGAACGCCGCGGUGAAUACGUUCCCGGGCCUUGUACACACCGAGUAUA